CGUCCCAUGCCAAUCCCCAUUUCUCUAAACAUCAAACCAGCAAAAAAUAUUUAAUGUCUCAUUGUUCAAUGUUAGUGAAGCAGAUGGAAUCACUAAGAAAAAAGGACGAGACUGGAUCUGACUGUCCUCGCAUGCCUGCAGUUUCUGAAUCUGCAAAUCAAUAUAUGACAAUAUUCAAUCAAAUGGCAAAAUUUACAAAUAUAAAUCCUAGUAAAAAACAUAUAACAGCAAGUCAUUACCAAUAUCAAAAACAUUAUUCAAUUUUAAUCACCGAAUGUUUAAGACGAGAAAAGCACCAGACAAAAGUAUCAGUGAAUUGGAAUUACUUGCAAUUUACAACAGAUGCUCUGUAUUAUCUUUCCAACAGUGCCACUUUGCUGAAAUUACUUAAAUAGCUCAAAAUUUUCCAAAAGUCAGAGGUCCAAAAUUAUUCUUCUGUUAUGUACAAAAAUGACCGGACCUUUUUAAUCUUUAUUGUUGGUGUUGAAAUUUUGAAUUAUGGCCAAAACUAACUUUUAAAAGAAAUUGCAUCAGUCACUUUUCUUCCUUUUUUCUGGUUGGGGAUUCUUGUUUUUCCCAUUUUUUCCUCGGGACAGAAGAUAAACAUAAUGCAACUAUUGGACACAGCAAAUGUAUUGCACGAGGGAAAAUGAUUCUACCUGUUAUUCAUAUGCAUGUGAAAGUAUCAAAUUAGUUCAGCCUCUUCUUUGCCAUAGUCAUACACUAUCUCAAUC
rnacentral:lncRNA from 1 species